GCGCCGGAGCGCGCGGGCGGCGCCCCCGCACCCGGGCGCAGCCGGGGAAGCGGCCGGAGGGCACCGUCCAGGCCGCGCUGGCGGCCCCUCCCGGAGCGGCUGUGACAGCAGCGGCGACAGCAGCUUCUACUCGGCUGAGUUCUCAAAAGUAAAUAAAGAGAUGGAAUGAUUGGACUCUUUCCUUUGUGGCUAUGGACUUUGGAUGCCUACCACCUGUUUGUUGGCUUUGAGUUCUGUGAAAUAAUUUCUCCAGCCUGCGUGAAGGAAACAGAGGAAUGAAGCAGAGCAUUCGCACAGAGGAGGGCGCAAGCUGGAAAAGGCUUCAGCUGAGUGGAUCUCCGAUGAGUAUAUCUUAGACCUCAUCUUGUUUGAACAUUCGGCAGGAAUUGUCCUACUAGAUACUUAAAUGGGAGAAUUUUAUCAAAGUGGAAAAGAAAAUUUGUGUCAACCCAAAUGACUUUGAUCACUCCUUGUAAAAAGCAGGUUCUUCUUUAGUGACUAGAUAGUCUCAACAAUGUUUGAACACCUUUACCCUAAAUGUGAGCUCUUUCUCUUUUAGUGAAUGGUUUACUAAUUAACUGGUUCUGCUUUUCCCUUUUAGAAUUUAAGAAGAAAGAAAGAAAAUUAUAAAAGUCGAGGCUUUCAUCAAGAAGUGAAAUGAAAAAGUGUAAAACUAGAAAUGCAGGUGCCAAGAGCACUUCAAAUGAGCAAGUCAAAUUUUCAAAUAAAUCUUAAUCUGACCUUUUAGCUCAAAAUGACAGGAUGAGGAGAUGCCUAAACUGUGGAGAGGGCAGGAUCAGAGCAUGGAAAAGUAUAAAGUCUUGAGGAACCUUUUAAUUGUUUUUUUUUUUUUUUUUUUCGUUAGCUUAUUGGAUGUGGGCCCUGGAAUGCUGGUGUCCCAUCUCUGCUACCAGUUAAGCUUGUUGAAACACUCUCACUGUACUUACUUCAAAGAGUUGCUGGGAGAACUGUUGAAAUAGUGUAAGAAAUACAUAGUUAGUCAUAGGAGCUUUUAUUAUGACCACAAAUGUCCUACAGAGCAAGCACUUUUAUGUCUUCCUUUUAAUCAUUUAUAAUCAAGCAUUUAAAAUGUAGAUCAAAUUAUUUACAUUUUUUUAAAAUUUAAAUUUCUUUUAUGAUUACAACUUUCACCUCUCUUCACGGGAUUUCCUUUUUUAACAAAUGGCUUUUCCUGAAACCUUAAGUCAUAUUUCCAUUGUUUGAAUUAGUUCUUCCUAUAGAAAACAUGCUGUUUUUGCCAGUGACCACAAGAGGACACAAUUUCCCAGAGAACUUUGUGGCAAAAGAAGUUUAUAGAAGAGGAAGGCAAACAAAAUAGCAAAAAUGCCACACAUAACUAACUGAUGUCAUUUUGGGCAUGUCUUUUGAUUUAUGUCACUUUUAUUAAUUUUUAAAACAUAAUCAAACAGGUUGGCAUUCAAACUUCAGAUACUUUUGGAGAUCAUAUGUCUUGUGCAACAUAAAACGAAAGCAUACGUUUACAAAAAGAUAUUAAAUAUUACUUUUGUAGUUAAGGAAAAAUGUUUAUUUUACAUUGUCUGGAAUUUGUACAGAAAUAUCAGUGACCUGGAAUUUUACUUACUUAAUUUUAGAGCAGUGUUUGGCAAUGAAAAACAUUUAUAUAUAUAUAUAUACACAUACAUCUCCAAAAUGCCUUUGUUGGAAAUCCUGAAUUUUUAGUUUGGAUAUUUAGGAUGCUUGUAUGUGAAAAAUUAAUUUGUAAAUUGUGUUUUAUGCUAUGUCAAUUACAUUUUAACAUACAUGAUUGAUUAAUAGCUAGUUUUUUUCAGAGAUAUGGUAGAACAGGAUAUUUUAUGAUACUGACUCCCAGCACUUCCCUAUAAUAAUUAUAUACAAUCUUUGAUUUCAUUUAAUAAUGUCCUCCUCCUUUCCUAUACCCUUCUCUCAAAAAUGGUUUCAGAACAUCUGAUUAAUUUGUAAAUUAAAAUGUAUAUUAAAGUGAGUUAUGUCUUGAUAUUUUUCUGGAAGAAUUUCAUAGUUCUGGCGUUGCCAGCACAACCAGGCUGGGGAAUCCCUGCUUCAUUUGGAACUAAAUGCUUUGCUUUGCAUUUGUGUCUUCAAGCAAAUACAUUCCUAAUAACUUUCUCUGAGAACCUCCAAGGAGGGAUGGAACAAUGGACCAAAAGAAAAAAAAAGACGAGGGAGAGAAAAAAAUAAAAUAAGGAGGAGAUCGUUGGAGAGGUGGCAGAACCUGAAUACCCAAUGCCAUGGAGUCGAUUCCAGAACCUGAAUAGAAAGGGUAAAAGAGGAAGCCAGAGCAAGUGAUCAAGAGUGAAAGAGAACAAGAGAGAAUGAGGCUUGAUAUGUCAAGGGAAAAUGGGCCUAAAUGGCAAGAGAAAGGAAGAAAUUAAUGCACAGAAUGGGGGAUAGGAAACCACCAGGAAUAUUUACUCCAGUUUCUGCUCAAAGACAUCAUUGCAAGUAGUUGCUUGUCCCUGGGUGUAAGCAUUUAGUUUUUCAAAUCCUUGUCAUUCUCAUCCAGGUCAUGACAGAGUGAGGAACAGGGUAAAGGGCCAUAAAACUUUUAAUAAAGCUUGCUGUUUAAUUGUGGAAUAUGCCCCAUCCUAUUUUUUUUUUUAAAUUAGAGUGAAGCUGGUAGCAUGCUGUCAUUACUGGACCUCAGGGUGGUAGAGGAAAAGAGAUCUGGGGGAAUGCUGAUAUCAUUACUCCAUGAAAAAUGCUAUUAACCCUAAUGGAAUUUCAGAAAUCUUAUGUGGUUGCUGAGACUCCCAGCUCAUUAUUUAUUUUCCAUUUGACCUCCACAAUGGAAGUCAAACCGGACGUUUUUCCAUGUGGCGGGCCAGGAUCAAUGGCUCCCUUCCCUACCUCAGAUAACUCAGGGAAGGACAGACCUGCAGAUGAUAAGUCUUGUUCUCACUCACCCCUACACAAGACCUUGAGAGAUUGUAAGCUCCAACUUCUGCCUAAUCGUGCAUUCUGGAGACCAGAAUUCUCGUUUCAACUGACAUUAAUUAAUUGUAGUGCAUUUAUUGAUUCUUUUAUAAUUUAACAAAAAUACUCUGGUUCCUCCUAUUAUGUUAAAUGACCUGAGUAAAAAGAUUUAGUCCCUGACCUCAAGGACUUCACAGUCUAAUGGGAAACAAUUUUAUAACACGAGGAGUUAAAUGCUAUGAUAGAUGUUUGCAAAGCGUGCCAAUGAAGGACAUUGAAUGAUA